rnacentral:lncRNA from 1 species
UAUUUGUGUCCCUUUUCCACAGGACCAUCAGUAUUGCUGUGUUCUAGUAUAAAGGCAUAAGGGUGGAAUCAAGAGAGCAGUUUGAUAGUAGCUAAAGCUGAAACUUCUCUGAUAAUCCUUUCAAACUAAUAUUUUAAAAAGGCCUCAAAAUGACAUGAGUCAAAAACCAAAAGCAAGACAGAGUGAAGGACUCUCUUGUUGAACUCAACUUAAAAGGUGACUUCUUUGAGCCUCAACUCUUUGCAUCUCUUCAUCUGGAAAAUAAGAGAAAAUACAAGAGCACUUCUGCUUGCCUCACAGGAUUUUUAUGAGGACCAGUAAUUAUAAUGUGGAGCAAGGUUGGAGGAGUGAACUACAACUGCUCUGUCACCAAAAAAUCUUCUGAGACAAAUAUUAAAAUGUCACCACAAAACAAAUACAGGAGUGAAAGAACCAGCAAAGAGACAGAUCAAAACAAAUUUCAAGAAAAGAAAAUAACCAAAAGGUAUACAGAAGGAAGGCUUGGGAUCACUGUUCUUACUGUGCUGCCUGAAUAAGUUCCUCUGCUUUGAGAUAACUAUGUCUUCUCACUGACUAAUAAAAUAAAGCAAAAGAGUAAUCA